rnacentral:sRNA from 1 species
CUACACUACACUACGCUAUGUUAUACUACUAUACUACACUUUACAAUAUAUUACUAUUAUCUCCGCUACGCUAUAAACUAUCUUCUACUGUUACUCUUCACACUGUCACUACAUCUCACAGCUUUAUACUUGUGUAGUUUCUAAUAAUUCUUUUAUAUAGCUCUUAAUGUUCUUCUGCUCCACACUUCACUGUGAAACAGCUUCUAAUAUUCUUUCACUCUGAAUUUCUCUCUAUAAAAAUCUUCUUUGUAUGAUCUUUUCUUCUGAUUUCUUUUCUGUUUCUUUUCUUAAUCAAUUUGUAAUCUGUAAUUAGAAUAGUAUCAAAUCGUUAAUCGAAGUACGGCCGUUACAGUC